rnacentral:rRNA from 1 species
GAUGAACGCUGGCGGCGUGCCUAAUACAUGCAAGUCGAGCGAACAGACGAGGAGCUUGCUCCUCUCACGUUAGCGGCGGACGGGUGAGUAACACGUGGAUAACCUACCUAUAAGACUGGGAUAACUUCGGGAAACCGGAUCUAAUACCGGAUAAUAUAUUGAACCGCAUGGUUCAAUAGUGAAAGACGGUUUUGCUGUCACUUAUAGAUGGAUCCGCGCCGCAUUAGCUAGUUGGUAAGGUAACGGCUUACCAAGGCAACGAUGCGUAGCCGACCUGAGAGGGUGAUCGGCCACACUGGAACUGAGACACGGUCCAGACUCCUACGGGAGGCAGCAGUAGGGAAUCUUCCGCAAUGGGCGAAAGCUUGACGGAGCAACGCCGCGUGAGUGAUGAAGGUCUUCGGAUCGUAAAACUCUGUUAUUAGGGAAGAACAAAUGUGUAAGUAAAUAUGCACGUCUUGACGGUACCUAAUCAGAAAGCCACGGCUAACUACGUG